GUAUCUGGGGUGGUUGCUAAGGUGUUUCUAGGUGGUUGCUAGGUGGUUGCUAAGGUGUUGCUAUGGUAUCCGGGGUGGUUGCUAAGAUGUUGCUAGGUGGUUGCUAAGGUGUUGCUAUGGUAUCUGGGGUGGUUGCUAAGGUGUUUCUAGGUGGUUGCUAGGUGGUUGCUAAGGUGUUGCUAUGGUAUCCGGGGUGGUUGCUAAGGUGUUGCUAGGUGGUUGCUAAGGUGUUGCUAUGGUAUCCUGGGUGGUUACUAAGGUGUUGCUAGGUGGUUGCUAGGCAGUAGCUAAGGUGUUGCUAUGGUAUCCUGGGUGGUUGCUAAGGAGUUUCUAGGUGGUUGCUAAGGUGUUGCUAGGUGGUUGCUAAGGUGUUGCAAUGGUAUCCGGGGUGGUUGCUACGGUGUUUCUAAGUGGUUGCUAAGGUGUUGCUAGGUGGUUGCUAAGGUGUUGCUAUGGUAUCCAGGGUGGUUGCUAAGGUGUUGCUAACUGGUUGCUAGGCAAUUGCUAACAUAUACCAGGUAGUUGCUAAGGUGUUGCUAGGUGGUUGCUAGGGUGUUGCUAGGUUGUUGCUAAGGUGUUGCUAUGGUAUCUGGGGUGGUUGCUAAGAUGUUGCUACGUGGUUGCUAGGGUGUUGCUAUGGUAUCCGG